rnacentral:tRNA from 1 species
GUGGGGAUAGGUGGAG